GGGUUUGUAUUUUCUGUGCAUCGGUUUCCUAAACCGAAGGUCGCAGGUUCGAAUCCUGCCGGGCGUA
rnacentral:tRNA from 1 species